AUUUUUCCAACUAUGAAACAUCAGAAACUAGGGAUCCCUAGGUAAUCCUGAUGUCUAGAGAACUUGGUUCAACAUAGUUUUCAAAUGUUCUGCUGACCACAUUGAUUGGGUAGAUUUUAGGAGUUACAGUCCAUAAAGUCAUGCUAUGAUGGGUUGCAACACUUUUGCAUGGGCCUUGCAUUUUGAAAGCCAAAGCUAUAGCCAUCCUGCCCCCAUGAUACCCAUGCCAGAAACAUGCCACGGAUUCCACAUGUGCCUGUCUAACAUGACAAUUUGUUGAAAUGUUUUCUGAAUUUAAUUUCAAAGUUAUACAUGGAAAGGCAUUUUCUCUCAAGACAUCUUCCCACUCUCUUUAUCCUCCUGUUUCUUCAAGGAAAGACCUGCUGGGGCUCAUCUCUUUAAAUAUGUGUUAUAGUCAUGAGUGAUCUCAGUCUUCAAGGGUUAAGUUGGGGCAGGAGGGGCCAGAUCAGGUCUAAUUGUUGGAAUGUGUGCUUAGUUCAAGUUAAACAAUGGCUCCUGGGAAGGGAGGGGGAUCAGCCAGAGAGGUGCUGAGCAGUGAAAAGAGUGUUGUUUGGGGCCUAGUUUCCUGAAUAGACUUGUUAACGACCAUGGCUGAUGUAUGCUAAGCAGGCUCGGCUGGGGAGAGAAAGGCCAACGGAGUCGGCACAUCAUUCCCUGUGCCAAGGCGUCCACUUUGAUGGCUCCUUUGGAGUUGCCAUGGCCAGGGCCAGAGUUCAUGAAAACACAGAAGAAGAGCCAACAAAACAAGAAUAAAGACUUAUUUGAGAUACUCUUUUUAAAGGACAUCUACCAUGCACAAAACAUGAGAAGUAAAUGUAGACAAGUUUGGACACUAUGGCGCACUGUGAGGAAAAAGGGGAGGAAAAUGAAUUUGAAAAUCAAAUAGGCCUAUAAAAACUUGACCCAAGAGUUUCUGGGAAAAACCCAGUGAAUUGCUCCCUGGUUGAACAAUGUUCUUUCUUUCGUGCGUUCUUCAAGAGGACAAUGCUCAAUAUAUUAUAACACAUGCCACCAAUGUCUUUACACUGUUGUAAGCCAGCUCAAGCCAACAGAAUGCUGAUUGAGGACAACAAGAGAUUGGGAGGGAGUAAUUCUCUCUUUCUCUGGCUGCAUUACAAACAAGCACUGGGAAAAUUAUUCAUGCAUAUACAGCCAACAAAACAGAAAUGGGAGAUUUGUGAUCUCGUGCAGGGCAAUCAUGUGACUCGAAUUUUUUUCUUAAAGGAAAAGAAAAAAAAACAAUGCCAUUCACUGGCAGAGUCAUUGCAACAUUGCCAGUUUAGCUUUGUGUGUGUGCAUAUGUGUGUGUACCAGUAAAGCCACAUUUUUUUUAUGAUACCCAUAAAAAUUGAAGUUUCCUUUGGCCCUGAAUGCUGUACAGGGAAAAUCAAUCUGCAUAGCCACAGCAAAGAAACUUGGCAUGUUAUGUCUUUGCUAUAGCUUUUCAGUAGUUGUAAUAUUUUAUUGGACUCAUCUGCCUCGUUUCUGACGCUCAAGUGUUUCAAAUUUUUUUUCUUUUGAGGGAUUUGGGAGAAAAUAUGGGAGGGGAAUAUUCUUUGGUAAUGUCAAAUUAUAUCACCCUUCAAAGGAGAAGAACGCUAUAAUCUUACAAAAUUGGAAACCCUAAACCAAUUUGAGUAUGGAUUCAAGAACUCCUAAUACCAGCAGACCAUGAAAAGAUUUUCUGUUAUAUAAUAAAAAGAGGAAAUAUUUCAGAC